rnacentral:rRNA from 1 species
CGACCGGCGCACGGGUGAGUAACACGUAUGGAACCUGCCCGCAGCAGGGGAUAAGCGGAAGAAAUUCCGUCUAAUACCGCGUAACACCGCGGAGGGGCAUCCCUCGGCGGUUAAAGAUUCAUCGGCUGCGGAUGGCCAUGCGGCGCAUUAGCUAGUCGGCGGGGUAACGGCCCACCGAGGCGACGAUGCGUAGGGGUUCUGAGAGGAAGGUCCCCCACACUGGUACUGAGACACGGACCAGACUCCUACGGGAGGCAGCAG